rnacentral:rRNA from 1 species
UACGGGGGGGGCAAGUGUUGUUCGGAAUUACUGGGCGUAAAGGGUUUGUAGGUGGCUUGUUAAGUCAGACGUGAAAUCCCUCAGCUUAACCUGGGAACUGCAUCCGAUACUGGAUGGCUUGAAUCCGGGAGAGGGAUGCAGAAUUCCAGGUGUAGCGGUGAAAUGCGUAGAUAUCUGGAGGAAUACCGGUGGCGAAGGCGGCAUCCUGGACCGGCAUUGACGCUGAUGAGCGAAAGCUAGGGGAGCAAACGGG